UCCCUGGCAGUCCAAUGGUGAAGACUCCUUGCUUCCACUGCAGGGGGCCCAGGUUCAAACCCUGGUCAGGGAC
rnacentral:tRNA from 1 species